rnacentral:rRNA from 1 species
GACGAACGCUGGCGGCGUGCUUAACACAUGCAAGUCGAACGGAAAGGCCCUGCUCUUGUGGGGUGCUCGAGUGGCGAACGGGUGAGUAACACGUGAGUAACCUGCCCUUGACUCUGGGAUAACUUCAGGAAACUGGGGCUAAUACCGGAUAGGAGCUCCUGCUGCAUGGUGGGGGUUGGAAAGUUUCGGCGGUUGGGGACGGACGCGCGGCUUGUCAGCUUGUUGGUGGGGUAGUGGCUUACCAAGGCUUUGACGGGUGGCCGGCCUGAGAGGGUGACCGGCCACAUUGGGACUGAGAUACGGCCCAGCCUCCUACGGGAGUGAGCAGUGGGGGAUAUUGCACAAUGGGCGGAAGCCUGAUGCGGCAACGCCGCGUGCGGGAUGACGGCCUUCGGGUUGUAAACCGCUUUCGCCUGUGACGAAGCGUGAGUGACGGUAAUGGGUAAAGAAGCACCGGCUAACUACGUG